rfam:Aphanomyces astaci strain APO3 cont1.4532, whole genome shotgun sequence.
GGUUCUAUAGUGUAAUGGUUAGCACCCCAGACUUUGAAUCUUGUAUUCCGGGUUCGAAUCCCGGUAGAACCU